rnacentral:rRNA from 1 species
UAUAAGUCUCCUGAAGGAACGUUGAAGACGACGACGUUGAUAGGUCGGGUGUGUAAGUGUAGCGAUACAUUGAGCUAACCGAUACUAAUGAACCGUGAGGCUUAACCUU